AUUGAACGCUGGCGGCAGGCCUAACACAUGCAAGUCGAGCGGAUGAAGGGAGCUUGCUCCUGGAUUCAGCGGCGGACGGGCGAGUAAUGCCUAGGAAUCUGCCUGGUAGUGGGGGAUAACGUCCGGACACGGGCGCUAAUACCGCAUACGUCCUGAGGGAGAAAGUGGGGGAUCUUCGGACCUCACGCUAUCAGAUGAGCCUAGGUCGGAUUAGCUAGUUGGUGGGGUAAAGGCCUACCAAGGCGACGAUCCGUAACUGGUCUGAGAGGAUGAUCAGUCACACUGGAACUGAGACACGGUCCAGACUCCUACGGGAGGCAGCAGUGGGGAAUAUUGGACAAUGGGCGAAAGCCUGAUCCAGCCAUGCCGCGUGUGUGAAGAGGGUCUUCGGAUUGUAAAGCACUUUAAGUUGGGAGGAAGGGCAGUAAGUUAAUACCUUGCUGUUUUGACGUUACCAACAGAAUAAGCACCGGCUAACUUCGUG
rnacentral:rRNA from 1 species